UAUACAUCUUGUAUUCUUAUAUCACAGUCAAGUUUAUACGACGUUAUCGGUGAUGGAACUAUUGUGAUUCUUUAUUAAAGGAAUUAAUUUUUGUGUUAUUGUAAUCGAAGAGUUUCUAAUGAGGAAAUUAAAUUGUCAAGAUCUAUGGGGAGCCGACAAAUUAGAAGCUCAGUUAGAAAUCGCUCGCGAUGGACUUCGUGGUCUUGAUCGCAGUAUUCGUAAAAUUUUGGGCCGGGAACUUCCUGAUGGCGAAAGUGCUCCAUUGCAAUCGAGAGUACCUCAAAAACGACUGUUACAAGAAGAUCGCCGAAGAGCUAUAACAGACUUUGUGAAUAAUGAACUACCUGGAGGCAAACGACGCUGGCAAGGUUCUAAUGUAGAACCAAAAACAGUUUUUAGUCGAUUAAGUGCACGUAUUCCAUCUACUGCAGAUGACAGUGCUGAUGAAGAUGAUAGCAUUAUCAAGCCUGCUGUAUCAUCCAGAGUAAUAGCUACUCCUCGAGAAAUUCCUUCGCGUCAAGAGGUUAUCAGGCGAGAGAGAACAGAUGAACGUAGUCGACAGAGAAAUAAACGUAUGUUUGGUGCACUUUUGGGUACUUUACAAAAAUUUAGACAAGAGGAAACGAAACUUAAAGCAAAGGAAGAUAAAAAAGCAGAAGUAGAAGCUAGAGUAGAAGAAGCUAGACGACGAGAGAAAGAAGAAUUGCGUAGAGAAAGACAACAAUUGUUUUUAUCCCGAAAACGGCAAUUGGCUGAAGUGCGAGUAUUAGAAGCAAAGCUUGCACGUAGUCGGCAGUUUCAAGAUUGGCGUAAUGCGCAAUUGCCUCUUGCUUCAUUUAUAAAAACACAAACACAACCUUCUAUUUAUUAUGUACCAAAGCGUAAACAUCCACAGACAGAUAUGUUAUUAGCACAAUCCGUAAAAGAACUUAACGAAAACAUUGAAAGAAGACAAAACACAUUGAUUGAAGAAUUAAAUCUAAUAGAGGUUCAGAUAGGAUUAAGUAAACAGUCACAAAACUUUGAAGCGUCCUCAUCUUUACAUACCGUAGAUGCUCCACGUUUAAUAGAAAAGGGUGAAGAAAAUCGAGAUCCUAAUCCAGAACAUGAUAUCGAGACUUCAAUCAAUGAUAAUGCUGAUAUUUCAAUGCAGUCCAUAAUAAAUGAAAAUUUUAAUAAUGAUAAUGACCAUACUAUAGAGAAAAAGGAAGAAGUACAAUUGGACCAAAUUCAACCAGAUGUAAACAAUGGCUAGUAUAAAAUUUGCUAUAAUAAAAAAAGUUAUACAUAUUAUAUACAUUUGAUGAUUUGACAUAAAAUGAGGAUUUUCAUAAUAUAUAAGAUACAUGUCUAGAGUUAUCAAGAGUUGAAGAAUUUUCCCUUAAACAAAGAUGGAUAAAAGGGCCAAUUUUUACCUAAAAAGCGUAAUGUAACUUAUAAUUUUUGCAUAUAAUCUGUAUAUAUGCAUAAUUAUUAUAAUUAUUAAUAUUUUAAUUGAGUUUGAAUCGCAUCACUAGAUUUGAUGAUAUUAAUUUUAUUUGUCUAGUAAACCCAUGGAAAAGUGGUUAAAAUUUAUUUUAAAAAGAUUGAAAUGAAUCUCUUAUCAUAGUAAUAUUAAUUAGUACAUUUUGUUUGCAUUAUUUGAUCAUGUACUAUACUUAUUUGUAUAACUUCUUUAAUUAUUAAAAAUGAAAGUAUUAAAAUUAUGGAAGAAAAUGACAUUGCAGCCCUUAUAGGUAUUAUGACAAAUAGAUUUGUUACCUAGUAUCUUUAUUAUUAAGUGAUAAAUUCUAGUGAUUACUUAUGAAACAUUUGUUUAGUAGCUGUCAUCAGUGGUACUAAUAUGUCAGUAUACAUAUAAUAAUAUUUGUAUAUUAUUUGUUAUAAAUUUACAUUUGAGCAUUUCAAAA